rnacentral:lncRNA from 1 species
CAAUCCACCUCCAGAUGGCUGAGUACCUUCAAAGGUGCUUCUGACAUAAAAGGUUAGACAGAUUUCUUACAUCCAAUCAAUUAUAUUGCCCUUGUAAAUAUGCAACCUGAGUUUUGUUUGUUUUUUAGUCUGAAUGUCUGUAUUAGGAUGGGCUCUCCAGGAAAAAGAUUUUGAGUCUGAGAUUUGUGUGCAGGAUGUUCAUUAGGGAUAUACCCUGGCUCACCCAUGGGGGGUGAAGGACAUGAGACUGGGCACAGAGAAGAGGUGAAUUGGAUGCAAUCACAACAAAAAUCAUUCCAGAAAAGGGACUCAGCUGACAGCUAUCAGCCACCAACAUUUUGCAGUUGGAGGAAUAAAUAUCUCAGUCCUGAAGGGGAAUCCAGACAGCACCUCAUAGCAUUCAUUUCAACAGAACCACUACAAUGAACCAGCUAGAACAUGAUCUGUCUCUGCAUGAAGACAUUGGACCUCUGACCUUUUCUGUAGCUAUUCCAGGCAAGUAUAAUAAACAGAGUUCACUAGGUUUCUGUAAAUCUCUGAUUAUGUUUACUGUGGAAUCCAAGUGUUCAUCUCAGGCAGAAAAAUUAAGGUUGAUUUUCAAAUAUUAUGUACAAACUCUAGCUACUAAGCAUUCCAUAAUGAGCACUUCGGCAAUUUAAAGCAAAUUAGGGUUCCCACUAGGCAAGGAUGACAUGCUCUGCAGUCAAAGAAAGAUGGGACACUGUUAAUGGAGAAUAUUCACCAAGAAUUUAAGAUAACUCCAGAGAACUCCACUCACUGUAAUUUGAGGGAAAAAAACCUGACUGCACUUCAUUACUGGGACUUUGUGUCAGUUCUAAAACUCUUCUUUCCUGGUUUUCAAAUCUCACCUUAUUGAAGAAUGCUCAUGAAUCACAGCCUAGUAUCAAUAGGUGGUUGUUUAGGGACAUGACAGUUGUGGGAAAAUGAUUACCUUCCACAGGAUCAUCACUGACAGAACAGUUCAACAUACCCAACUAUUGCCAGAGAUUAAUGCAUGUUUUGAUUAAAAUGAGGAAUGAACUUUUAUUUUCACCCAAGCACAAAAUUGAAUCAGAAUUGCACUAAUCACAUAUGUCAAAGAAGCAAGAUGUUAGUUACUAACUCAUGAUAAGCAAAUUAUUCACAUUAUUUGUUUAAUUACAGAGCAUUACACCUAGUACAGAAAAGUUCAAAGAAAUGUAUAUGCUUAAAGAAGAUGUAACACUAAUCAUUACUCCUAUCAUGUAGAGAUAAUCAAGAUUAACUAUGGUCUUUAUCAUUUGAUAAUAUGCACAUACAUAAAUCAGAUAAAUAUAAAUGAUAUUAAAGUACAUGACAUACAAAAUAUAUACAGUUAUAGUGUGUAUGUAUAUACAUAUGCGUGUAUAUUAAUUUAUUUGUCUGAGUUUUAAGCAUGUCAUGUGCGGAUUUACGUAUAUAUGUAUACAAGUACAUAUAUGUGUAAGUAUAUGACUUUGUAUGACUGUGUGUGGAUUUAAUUUUUGUAAGUUAUUUUUAAAGUAGUAUUCCACAUACAGGCACACACACACAUGCCCUUGUCAAAAGAUCAAUAUCACUUCCAGUAAUAUUCCAUUCUACGAAUUUUACUAUCUUUUUUUCACUAUUGCUGAUGUUUAGGUUGUUUCAAAGUUUUUUAUUAUCAUAAACAACAUUGUAAUGAAAAUCAUUUAUAUAACUGUCUAAUUAGUUCCUUAAAAAUAAUGGAAUUACUGGGUCAAUGUACAUGCUAUUUCUGCCUUAUGAAAUGUAUUGCUACAUUAUCAUCCUGAAAGACUGUAUUAAUUUACCUUGCUCCUGACAAUGUAUUAAACUGUUUUUUCCUAAACCAAAAUAGAUGUUAUCAUUAAAAAAUGUUAAUUUGAUAAACCUAAAAUCAAUAUAUUCUUUACUAAGAAAGCUGAACAUUUUUGCUGUGCUUUCUUUUAUUUUCUAUUAUUGUUUUUAUUUUCUUUUUAUUUGGUUAUGACUUCAUUACACAUUGAAGAGAUUAAGAUACCUUAUAUAUGUAAUAAGUAUUUCUCCAUUUUUUCAUUUGUCUUUCAGUUUGUGGUGAGACUUUUUUAUGCUGUGUUUUGCCAAUAGGAAAAACAAUUACAUUUUAUAUGGUCAAAUAUAUCAACCUAUUAAUUUGUGAUAUUAUUAAACAAGCUUUUUACUUUAUAAUUUUAAAAAUACAGUGAGUAUUUUUUUGCUUCUCCUAAGCAUUAUUUUUGACUUUUAACUCUUAUGUCCAUCUUAAAAGUACUGUGAUGCCAUAAGUAAAGUAGAUUCUUUUUUUUUUUUUUAGGUAGUUAAUCUUUAUCUCAACAUUAUCUAUUAAAUCUCUCUUCAUACCCCUGAUCUGAAAUAAUAAUGUCAUGUGGGAUAUACAUACAUAUCACACACACACACACACACACACGCACACACACACAAAUCUGAGUUUGUUUCUUAGCUUUUCCUCUCUAUUCCAUGGGCAUCCCAUUUUUAUUCUGGAAGUAGUCCCUCAUUAUGAUAGCUAUUGUUAUCCUUUAAUAUAUUCCAAUAGUUUAGAGUGGAGUUAUCUUUCAUUCAGAAUUUCAUUGCUUUUAUUACCUGAUUAGUUUCAAUCAAUAUUUAGAACAUUUUGCCAAAUAGACACAAAUUAUUUCUAAUUUGAAUUGAAUCAUAUUAAAUUAGGAAGAUUUGAUAUCAUGGUCUUCCUAUACAACACCACAUACUUCUCUCUCAUUUGUUUAAUUUUCAAACUCAAUAUAAGAGCACAGUUUUCUUCAUACGGGCCCUGUAUUCUUGGUUAGUUUUAGCCCCAGGUAUAUUGUAUAUUUGUUAACUAAUAUUAAUUUUAUUAAUGUGUUUAUUUUUUAACUUAUGCAAGCGGUAUUUUUUUGGAAAUAAGUUUUAUACAUGUCAUGUACAAAACUAUCAUUUUUAGGUAUUAUUGCUUCAUGCUUGAUUUACCAGAUUAUCUAGUGACACUAGAAAAUGUAAUUUUGUAAAUAGGCUUGUCAAGUAUAUAACUUUUAAGACUCCAUGCAACCUGGUGAAAGAUUAUUUAACCUAAUUAGUUCCUAGUAAAUUCAAUCACGUCAGUGUUAUCUCUUAGUUUAGGUUUAAACUCAACCAACUUAUGUUUUGAUUGUUUCCUCUACUGUACUGGUGAGAGUCCCAUAUGGCAUCAAGUAGAGGCACAGCCCCUGGUCAGAGACAUCUGUUCUCUGCUGACACCUUUUGGAAUCCCCAUUCUCCAUUUACUGGCAUUCUGGUUAUUGCUUAAAUUUUCCAUACUCCCUUUAUUAUUUUCAUGAUCUGGGAUUGGAAGGAUUAAUGUUGUUUUAUUUUUUUUUUAAUUUUUAUUAGCAUACAAUUGACUUAAAAUGUUGUAUUAGUUUCAGGUGUACAGCAAAGUGAAUCAGUCACACAGAUAGAUAUAUCUAUUUUUCCCAAUAUAUGUUAUUACAAACAAUUGAGUGGAUUUUCCUGUGCUAUACAGUGGGUUCUCAUUAAUUGUCUAUUUCAUACAAUAGUGUAUACAUGUUAUUCCCACCCUCCCAAUUCUUCCAUCCCCUCAAAAGUUUCAACUAUGGUAACUUAAGACUGUUUUUGAAAUCUAGGAGUCUGUUUCUGUUUUAUAAAUAAGUUCUUUUGUAUCAUUUUUAUUAGAUUCCACAUAUAAGUAAUAUCAUAUUAUAUUUGUCUUUGACUUUUUUCACUUGGUAUGGUAAUCUCUUGGUUCAUCCAUGUUGCUGCAAAUGGCAUUAUUUUAUUCUUUCUAUACCUGAAAAAUAUUUCGUUGUAUAUAUGUACCAGAUCUUCUUUAUCCAUUCCUCUGUCGAUGGACAUUUAGGUUGCUUCCAUGUCUUAACUAUUGCAGAUUGCAUUGCAAUGAACAUUACAGUGCAUGUAUCUUUUCAAAUUAGUUUUCUCCGGAUAAAUGCCUGGGAGUAGGAUUGUUUGGUCAUGGAUAGCUCUAUAUUUAGUUUUUUAAAGAAUAUCCAUACCAUCCACCAUAGUGGUUGCACCAAUUUACAUUCCUACCAACACUUAAGGAGGGUUCCCUUUUCUCCACACCCUUUCCAGCAUUAAUUGUUUAUAGAUUUUUUGAUGAUGGACAUUCUGACUGGUGUAACGUAAUACCUCAAUGUAGUUUUGAUUUGUCUUUCUCUAAUAAUUAGUGCUGAGCAUCUUUUCAUGUGUAUUUUAGCCACAUGUUUGUUAUCUUUGGAGAAAUGUCUUUUCAGAUCUUCUGAUCAUUUUUUAAUUGUUUUUUGUUGUUUUUUUAUAUAAAGCUCCGUGUGAUAGUCAUAUACUUUGGAGAUUAAUCCCUUGUUAGUUUCAUUGUUUACAAAGAUUUUAUCCCAUUCUGUGGAUAGUAUUUAUAUCCCCCUUAUUCCUAAUCACAUGGUGUAUCCUGAAGAUUUGUACAUACUUUCCACCCUGAUAAAUUUGAGAUGCCUUUGGGCUCUCCCCCUCUUUCUCUCUCUCCUCAUUCCUUCCCACCCCAGUUAACCACACCCUAACCUUCCCUCAAUUUAUAUACCUGCACAGGGACAUGGAAAAGAUUGGCCUAUUUUUCUGUCACUCUCUGUCAUCAGACACUUUUAAGUCCAGUACCCCACCAAAAACUCUGCUGCCCUAAUACUUUUAUCACAUGGGGCAUAUCUUUAAGGCCAAUGCCAUCAUAUACAAUUUGGCAAGUUUUAUUUCAUAAUCAGUGUGUAUAUUGAGGGAGAUUUAAUUUAAUGGUAUUAAAUGAUUAUGAUCAUGAAAAUGACUAGAAAAUAAUUAUUCAAAAAAACAUGAAUUUCUUUUAAAGUAGUAUCUUAUUAUGGAGAGCUAGCUUUUAAGGGAUUGUGUUCUGAAGUACUAGUAGUUAUUUUUUGCUCAACUACUCAGAAGUGUGCUUGCUGGUAUUUUAUUUAGAUUCCACAAUAACAUAGGGGCAUUUAUUUUACUUUUGGUAGUAAAUAUAGGAUUUUAUACAUAAGAAGGUCUUUAACAUCCCCUCACUUCUUUUUUGUAAAAGUGAAUGAUCUAUUCAUUUGUAAAUCACCAUAAUAGGUGCUAAUGAAUGACUAUGGUUAUUAAUAACCUUGAGAACACUGUUAAUAAACUGUAGUAGUAAAAAUAGUUGACA